ACAAGUUUUCUGUAAAGGUUCUUUAGCCUGGAAGGUAGGAAUUUUCUGUGGAGAAAUUACUCCUCACCAGCCAGACCCAUGAGGAGAUUUUUCUUGAAUUCUAACAGUGCAAAGUUUCUAGAAAGAAAGCCCUUAAAAGUGUUGAGGGAGGAGACAAUAAGUCUGUGCCAUCUCAGGAGUUUCUCAUUUUCACACUUGUCAACAGUCAGCUUCCAGCAAUUCUAAUGUUCCUAAUAGUUUAUAAUUUCAAACGUUUUUGCUCCAGGUAGUCAGAUCUCAGCUGUGAAUCUGGGUUUAUCUGCUGUCCAGAUUUAGGGCUGAUGGUUUGCCCUACAACCUCAGCUCUUUAAUGGGCCAAGAAAAGGUCACAGAAUUUUAGUUUGUCCACCUAUUUCUUGUCAUAAGGAGAGGAGUGAUAAUAUAUUUCUGUGUCAGAGCUGCAACUAGUACUUUCUGUCAGUAUAUUUUAAAUUACUUCUUCAUUUUUUCCUUAGAGAAAAACAUAUUUUUAUAAAGUUAGUGGAUGUUCACUAUAAGGUACAAUCUUAGUUGUCAAGGGUGGGAUGAAACUCUGUGUACUAUUUUACUCUACACCUGAUACAUACUUAAGUUAGAGAACAGGAACACUUUUUGGACAGCUAUUCCGAUUGCUAAAAAGGGAUCCUGUUAUGUAUUGUGACUUCGACAUAUCAGAACAAAUGUAACACCAAGACUGUAAAGAAAGGAAAAAGUGAUAAAAAUAUAUCUCUCUGCAUACCCCAAUUAUCUGUUAUCCUGCUGAGGGUAAUUGCACUUUGCAUUUCACAUGACUAUUAUUUGGCCCAGAAGAGCUGGUUUGAUGCUAUGAAACUUGUCUGGGUUAUAGUGUUCUUAGGAAAAAAUGGAAAGAGGAAUUUUUUAAAGUUCCAUUUCCUCCAAGCUAUUAAAAUCAACAUAUAUCUUUUUGGAUAACUUGCCCCACUGCCUGUGUACUAGUUCUGGGAGUGAUAGGAAGGAGAGAGUUCUAUGUUUGAAAGGUUAUUUAAAUUAAGGUGCAGUCAUACAUUAUAUGAUAUUUUCAAUGAUUUAAAUGUUGUUAUUGCUCCUAGGAAUAAAAUAUAUUUUUUCCAUAGAAAAGUAAAUCUUCUGAUGAAAGUAUAAAUCAAGCUUUCUUUAAAUAUUAAAGAUCUUGAAUUAAGAAGAGAUUGUGUGAAAAAAUCAGUCUGUAUCCUAUAUCCAACACACAUUGUGAAUUUGUUAGUACAUUUUGAAAUAAUACAUGGUAAAUAUGGUUUUGAAAUGGAAUCCAAAAAGGCCCUCCCCCAAAAAAUACUUACAGUGUUUGUAUACAUAUCCUCAUAUAUAGUAUAUGUAUACAUGUGUGACUGUAUGUGUGUUGUGUCAGUAAAGUGAAAUAUCAACAUUUAAGUAUGUAAAUCACAGGUCAUCACAAAUAGAGGUAACGUUUGUGAUUAUUUAAAGCUGCUGCUUGAAGUGAUGUAGCAUUGAAUGACCAGUAAAUGUGGACAUAGGGCGAGGAUGCCAAUGAGCAGCCCAGGGGCAAAAUGUGCCUUAUGAACAAUUAGUUUUUCAAAGCUGUUAAUUAGUUUUCCAAACAUAAAUAUCAAAACAUUUUAGAUAAAUAAUUCAAUGUCCAUAAUCACCCGUGAAGUAGAAGUUCUGACAAAAGUACAUGCAAAUGAUUAACUGGACCUGCUUUGUAACUAGCUUUAAAAUGGGGAAUGUAUUCUCCAGGGCAUUACCAUAAUUCCUGUUUUACACAUCCAUUAGGUUUUGCAGUCUCCUCUAAAUAACCAAGUUGGUGUACUUUCAUAUGGAGUGUACCCACACACAUUGAAACAUCAAGAAGUUUGAACAGAUUAAAAGAGGUACCAUAUUUUUGCUUCAUAGGCACUUAAUUUAUGUCACCAGGUAAUGAUAUAAAUAGUUGAACAUAGAAAAUGAUAUACAAUAGACUUUUGAAGUGUUCUUUUACUACCUAGCAUUUAUCAUUGUAAUGUCAUUACAUUAUAGUAUAUUAUAUAAUAGUGUAUUUUUGCUAUUAUGAGCCACAUUAUUCUUCCUUAUUUUACUGUACUACGGCAUUCAUGACUUGUAUGCCACACCAUAUCAAAGUUGUUCUGUAUUUCUGACAAAAUGAGUGACUUGCUGCGCCUUCUCUGAAUAUACUGUUCUUACCAACUGGACUACUCCAGCAUUCAUCUUCUCCAUAGCUAUAAAAAUGCUACCCAUCAAUCAAGAGUUAACCCAAAUGUCAUAUUUUUUGGAAGCUUUCACAGAAACACCUAUUACACUAAUUAUAUCAUCUUAAAUCUAUAUUAAUUGUAUUUUAUUUUAAUUGCUUGGAUAAUUAACAAAAUAAAUGAUUGCAUUGCAUAUUUAAAAUGUAUGAGUGAUACAAAAGAAAGAUCAGAGGAAGAGGAAUUAAGACAUUGGGCCUGGUAGGGAAGGCUGUAAUAUCGAACAGUAUUGUCAAGAUUGAGAGAGUGAAAUUUGAACAAAAACUUAAAAGUGUGCAGCAAUUAGCUAUGCAGAUCUGUGGGAAAAGAGUAUUCAGGGCAAAAAGAAGAGAUAGAGCAAAUGCGCUAAAGUGGGCUUGUGC
rnacentral:lncRNA from 1 species